AAUGUUUUUCUAUUGUUAGGGAAGAUUGCAUGAUUCACAUUAAUAAUUUUCCUUUUUUUGGCAUCAUAAAGACAAUUCACACCAUUUAAAAUUGCACUUCUGAAUUUACUCCACAAUAUCAAAGUUUAAUCAGUACAGUCCAAAAGAUCUAUACAGAGGUAUGAUUCUUAAAAAAUUAUAAUUGAGUUGUACAGAGCCAGUGCUCAGGGAAUGCCACUGACAGGAAUUCCCGACAGCUCCAGUCAUUGUGUGUGCUUCUUGGGCAUGGGUUCAGGUCUGUGCGUACUCGGUGUUGUUAUAAAGGUAGUCCAAGAGUGGAGGAUUGGGAAAAGGGGAAGGAAUAUUCAGAAUUGGAGACAUCUUGCUUUACACAUUCCACAUAAAUUACCUGAGGCACACAUCCAAAAUAUCCUGAGAAUUAGAUACAGCCAUUUCCAGUUUGGAAGAAGGACAGAAUAAUAGAGAACCUUCUGGAACUUAUUCAGAAAAUCAAAGGAGUUCAUAAAGCAAGAUUAGUGACAGAGGCAAGAGCUGAACUGAAGUACCUUGACUUAUUCCAGCACUAGGAUUUAAAGCAGCAGCUAAAAUCCCAUCUGUCUGAUCCAGGAGACUUGAACGCUUGGGCACUGUGGCUGGGAAUAGGGGAAAAAGUCUCCAUCCCAUUGCCCACACACUGUGCAAUCCUGAAAUCUUUGUUUUCUACAGCUCCCUCUAGCUAGUAUCAGUUUCCACAUCGGGGUGGGUUUAGAAGCAAAAUAACUUUCUAUCUUGCCAUCAGCCUUGUGCCUCUGAAUUCUGCACACAGAAUUUCUUCCACAAUGGGUAGAACCUUUUGAACACUAAUGGAAGAAAGGAAACAAAACGUAUGUUGAAAGACAAGGUAUUUAAGAAAUUAAAACAAAAUGCUCAUUUACUGUUUUUAAUAUGUAGUCAAAUAUGACAGCAGUCUUACACAAAUAGCUCCCUCCUCCCCCUUCUAAAAUCCCAAAUUUGUUGACUCCUACUGUAAGUGAAAAACAUGGUUUGCUUCUGAAAAUAGCAAUCAACAGCAAAAACACAGGUAACAUUUGGUCCCCACCAGCUUCCACACCUUUAAAGAUAAAUUGUGUCACUGAGGCAGUCAAUACACUAAAUUUCUUAUCAAACUAUUACUAGGGGAAAAAAAUCAGAUUUCCCACACACUGUAAGCAGAACCGAAAGAGCUGCAGAGAAACUUGGUUUAAGAAGCUGUGUGAAGAAAACAUUAAUGACUUAUUGCAAUUGUAAUAAUCCCCAGGUAAAAGAUGGAUGUCAAAUUAAUGGACUGUAAGGAAAUACAUUCAAACUUAGGUCAUUAAUAUUACAGUGAACAUAAUCAGGAAGCUUGCAGAAGUAUGUAGCAUCUCUGAAUUAUUGAAUUUGAACAAAGGUUUCCAAUAGAGGUCACACUCUUUUUGCUCUCAGACACCAUUAGUGCAGAUUCAGAUACAAUCAUUUUUACAUUUGCAGGCUCAGGUACGUUCAACAGAAGGUCACCGAGAAGUAUGGGCUGGUUAUUUUAGCAUGACAGAAUGCAGGCUUGGAAUUUCUCCUUGACAUGGCAGAAGAAAUAGGAAUGAUGCCCAGAGGACUGGAAUAAAUUCAAAAUGCUUGGUUUUCCAAGUUCUAUUUUAAUAAACUUCGGAAAAUUAACCUUUCCCUGAAAGACACGUCCUUGGUUUGGCACACAGGGCUUUCCAAAACAGUGAGAAACGAACUGGCCAUGUGCUGCACUCACACACAUAGUCAUUCUUUUUGCUUGGGGUUGACUAGGUUCAUAGGGCCAGAUUUUCCUCAGUGUCCUCUUGUAGCAGUGCCGCAGUGAGCUUUGUGAUUCUGACAAAGGGUGCCAUUAUAGCUACCACAAAAGGUAGUGAAAGAAGCAUCAUUUUAUCCUAAAAGGAAGUCGUCUAUGUGUUCCUUAUGCAUUUGUAGAAUACCAGUUGCACCAGUAAUAUUGGCAUGUCAUUUGGUUAUUGCUGUCUCACCAAACCUGCUCCACAAGAAUAAGUGGGGAUACUUCACAUAAACCAUACAUAGCUGCUGCAAAGAGAUUGUCAUCACAAUCCUUCAAUCACCUUGCUUUUCAAAAUUUUUUUUAAUAGUUAACUAAGUUAGGAAAAAGUUACCAUCUUCAUCAAAUACUUAAAAUUGUAAAGCAAAAUAUAUGGAAUAGAAAAUGGCAUUCGUUCACGUCAGACACUUGUGAUGAUAAAGUAUGGUACUCUGUGAGUGGACUGAUGACCAAGGCAGAUGUGUACAGAUGCUAAACUGUUGGGAAAAUGCUGCUUAUGAGACAUCUCUGCUUCUUGAGACCUGAAUCUGCAAAUGUUGAGCACUGUACCUUACAAAAGCCAACAGUUUCUUGGCACAGAGUGUAAAAGUUUCAUGGGUUAGAAUGUUGGUGAAAUUGUACACUCAGUACCUGAAUUUAAACUUUAGGAGCUCAGUAUGUAUAUUAACCACUUUCCUUCUCAAGGGAUGCCAUUCCUUUCUUCAUUCAUGAGGAAUUUUCAAAAUCAGGAUUGUGAUUCCAAGGCAAUCGAUAUCUCCAUUUAAGGAGCUUUCUGCAUCCACUUUAUUUAGCCAGAGAGGGAAGGGGUUGACAUAAACGAAAAAGUGGAUCAAAUAGUCAAGAACAUGAUGGGCGCGGCAAUGAACUGAACCACUUUUGCUAAGUGACAGAAAAAUAUUCUAAUAUUAAGGAUUAUUUUACAACUCUAUGGAAGUAAUGCAGUGAUGCAUCUUGCAUCUGUUUUGCCUUGAUGACAAAACGCACUCUUAGAGUCACAAGAUCCUGCCUUGUGUUAGUUAUAAACAAAAAUAUAUUUAUAUAUAUAUAUUUAUGUAACUACUAUGUGCUUUAAAGAAAAUUACUGUAUGAUUCAGCAGGGUUUUUUCAUUCUUUCUAUCGCCAUGCUGACGUGAAUGGCUUCUUAGACAGGAAUCAGCAAUGAAAUGGGUGUUUAGUACUGAAAAGGCAUAAAAUUAAAAAUAAUCAUAUGUUUAAAAUCCCUUAACAUUUUUGUUUCAAAAAUGAUUAAGGAACUCUUCAUACUGUUUCCUUUUGUUUCCAUCAGCCCAGAGCAACUGUGGUUUCAUGGGACUUAACAGUUGGGGAUUGGAGGUAAGGCUUCCAUAAAGCAUAAAUCAGAUGUUUUCAUGCUGAGGCAGGAAAACAGAAAGCCCCGUUUGCCACCCCCUCUUCCCAAAUCCUUAGUUAAUUGUUCGGAAAUUUUGUCACAGCUCAUAGAAAGGUCAUUCAUUACAAAGGAAGAGGCAGACAUGGUUUGAACCUCCUGUACGGAUAAAAAGAUUCGUUCUGUAAAGUGAUGAACUUGUUGGUACAGAUGGAUCUAGACCAGAAAAACAACAUCCUUUUGCCACACAUCUGUUUUGAAAAUGUAGAAAAUCUCUUAUUUUGUGUUUGUUCUCACUCUUGCAUGGGCUGUUUUUCUUAGCAAUCUUGAGACAUUCAUCAUUGCUCUUUUGAGUGAAAG
rnacentral:lncRNA from 10 species